ensembl:lincRNA Dubr Dppa2 upstream binding RNA
ACCCACGCCGCGCUUCUAGCAAAGUUGCAAAGCAACGGGCAGACCUGUCAGAACCGUGAAGAUCCCGGCGAUGGAAAAAAGGCGAAACUGCUCCGCGUAGGCUGCUCGGAGUGGCAUCGCACCUUGUUCGAGUCCGAAGAAGUUCCCGCUUCUCUAAGCCGGCUGAAGGGAUGCGAGUCUCCUCUUGUCCCAACGGGACUGUGUCCUGACACCGAGUGGACUCCGCCCCAAGAGUGCGAGCGUCCUGAGCGUUCAGGGCAUCCUGAGCCGCGGAAGGCAUCCGGCCACACCCCGCUCUUUAACCGCCAACGCCAGCCCAGGUAAAAAGAAAAAAACUUUACGUGCUUUAAGAUUCCUCUGGAGAGUCGCCAAUUAGAGAGUUACCAGUUCUGUGACCACCCCACCCCCGCCCCCCAGGAAGAGCGAAAUCUGUCACGUACUCAUCUUUCACAACCUUGCAUAGGAGGAGGAAACUCCCACUCACGGCCGCCGGCCUUAAACGCUUGCAGAUUUGCGAUGGCAGGCAAAUCCUUCACUUUCUGGGAGCUGGCGCCGCGUCUCUGGUGCUUGCAGAAAGGAUCCAGUUUCUGUAAGGAUGCCCAGGCUUCGAUUGCACCUGGUUCUGAACACCAGCCCAGGAAUCCCACGUACCUGUUUGCGCCUCCUCCCCUGGCCGGUUACCAGUCAAGACCGCCAGGAACCUCUUAGAACAGUAGCCAAACCGGCUAGCCUUUUAUUCUGAAUCGGUCACUUUCCGUGGCUAGUAAAGUCCAACACUUUGGAUAAAUUGGCUUAGUGUAAAAAGGUGGCCAGCCUCAGAAUGGACUGUGAGCCUGUGUGUUAUGCAUCUCUAGUUGUAGAGACAAAAGGACAAAGAUGGAACCCACUAAGGAUGCUCCCGGCUGAAUGAAUUGUUGUUCUCUGGCUUACACAAAGUCAAGCGAAUGAUCUUCCCAUGUUAUGUAAUAUAGCAACGGCCUGCUUACCUUACUCCUUUAAUCUACGUUAUUCUGGAAAGUAACACUUGAAACAAAAAGUAGAUACAUUCUACUGGGAAUGUGACCCUCAGAGAAGGAAAGAAAGACCGAGGGGUUGAACCUGAACACAUGAAGACAAUCCAAGGUAAUUGGGGAAGCAUUGUCAAGAGCUCACUAGCUAUUUAAGAUAAAAGCAUCCCAUGUAUCUUAAUAAAUUUUGUCUGAUUGAUGGCUUUUUGAUGGGCCAGAGAGGAGUGAGAGAGAGCCAGAGAGACACAGAGACAGGCAGACAGACAGCAAGGAGGAGUUUUCUUCUCUAUCAGCAGCUAUCUCUGUGUGAGGGUUUCUCCCUUCAAAUGUCAAUUCUGCCAUCCCCGUAAGGAACCUGCUUGGUACUGCCACAUCAGAGAAGCCUCGGGUAAGGAGACUGGAUGCUUGGAAUCAUGGAUACUCAGAGCACUGUUAACAAAGAGCAGAGUCCAGUCUUCCAGAGUCAUGACCUGAAUCCAAAGUUGAAAAGAUCUGAGCAGUGUAUAAACAGCCUGUCAUAACCUGCAUAAUACAUUUUUAGUCCUGAAUAAAUCUAUUCACACUUCUUUCUAUAAUCAUACUUAUGUAGAUAAGGUUGGCAGGAGGAAGGUGAAGUAUAUUUGAAGGUAUAUGUUUAUAACAGCUUUAACCUCAAGUCAUGUUUAUUUAUAAGAGAAAACGACAGUGGAAUUUGGAAAAUUAAGAAAUGAUUCUUACCAGGCAGUGGUGGCACACACCUUGAAUCCAGCACUUGGGAAAUGGAGGCAGGUAGUUCUCCAAUUUUGAGGACAGUCCAGUCUACAGAGUGCGUCAGAGGACAAUCACAGGACCACGUAGAGGAAUUUUAUCUCGAAAGAUUAAAAAAGUAAAGCCUGAUUCUACUCAAAAUGUUUGAGCAGUAGGGAGAGUGUCAGAUAUCUGGUCUCACACAGUCUCGUGAACAGCUGCUUUGGGGGAAGGGCUGAAGGAAGAAAACUCUUUCUCGUGUGAGCUUUAUAAAUUCUCGCCAUAGACUUUCCCUAAGAGACUCUUUCCUGUUCUCAUGAUGCACUAAUGACAGAAAUCAUAUGACUAAUGGAGAGAAACUGGUAGAUAUACAAGAAGAGCUGCAUUGGGAUAACCGCCAUUUUACAAAGGGUCAGUGUUAACAUUUGUCAGUGUAUCCUGUGGUGAGUCAUUCAACUCAGUACAUGUUGAGUUCUAUAGAGUACAUGACACUGUCUUAUGCCUGUGAGCAAGCCAUAAUGUAAAAUAAUUCAUCC